rnacentral:rRNA from 1 species
UACAGAGGUCCCAAGCGUUGUUCGGAUUCACUGGGCGUAAAGGGUGCGUAGGCGGUUUGAUAAGUCUGAUGUGAAAUCCCGCAGCUUAACUGCGGAACUGCAUUGGAAACUAUUUGACUAGAGGAAUGGAGGGGAGACUGGAAUACUUGGUGUAGCAGUGAAAUGCGUAGACAUCAAGUGGAACACCAGUGGCGAAGGCGAGUCUCUGGACAUUUCCUGACGCUGAGGCACGAAAGCCAGGGGAGCAAACGGG